rnacentral:rRNA from 1 species
AACGAACGCUGGCGGCAUGCCUAACACAUGCAAGUCGAACGAGACCUUCGGGUCUAGUGGCGCACGGGUGCGUAACGCGUGGGAACCUGCCCUUAGGUUCGGAAUAACUCCCCGAAAGGGGUGCUAAUACCGGAUAAUGUCUUCGGACCAAAGAUUUAUCGCCUUUGGAUGGGCCCGCGUUGGAUUAGCUAGUUGGUAGGGUAAAAGCCUACCAAGGCGACGAUCCAUAGCUGGUCUGAGAGGAUGAUCAGCCACACUGGGACUGAGACACGGCCCAGACUCCUACGGGAGGCAGCAGUGGGGAAUAAUGGAAAAUGGGCGAAAGCCUGAUCCAGCAAUGCCGCGUGAGUGAUGAAGGCCUUAGGGUUGUAAAGCUCUUUUAACCGGGAUGAUAAUGACAGUACCGGGAGAAUAAGCUCCGGCUAACUCCGUG